UGAGCCAGAAUAUAGAAAACAAUUCCAAACU
rnacentral:piRNA from 1 species